AGCGAACGCUGGCGGCAGGCUUAACACAUGCAAGUCGAACGGUCCUUCGGGAUAGUGGCGGACGGGUGAGUAACACGUGGGAACGUACCCUUAGGUUCGGAACAACACAGGGAAACUUGUGCUAAUACCGGAUAAGCCCUUCGGGGGAAAGAUUUAUAGCCUUUGGAGCGGCCCGCGUCUGAUUAGCUUGUUGGUGAGGUAAUGGCUCACCAAGGCUACGAUCAGUAGCUGGUCUGAGAGGAUGGCCAGCCACACUGGGACUGAGACACGGCCCAGACUCCUACGGGAGGCAGCAGUGGGGAAUCUUGCGCAAUGGGCGAAAGCCUGACGCAGCCAUGCCGAGUGGAUGAUGAAGGUCUUAGGAUUGUAAAAUCCUUUCACCGGGGACGAUAAUGACGGUACCCGGAGAGGAAGCCCCGGCUAACUUCGUGCCAGCCGCCGCAGUAA
rnacentral:rRNA from 1 species